AUUACGGGAGGCAGCAGUGAGGAAUAUUGGUCAAUGGACGCAAGUCUGAACCAGCCAAGUCGCGUGAAGGAUGAAGGUAUUAUGUAUUGUAAACUUCUUUUAUCAGGGAAUAAUGAUCACUACGUGUAGUGAGAGCGAAUGUACCUGAUGAAUAAGCAUCGGCUAACUCCGUGCCAGCAGCCGCGGUAAUAAUH
rnacentral:rRNA from 1 species